CCUACGGGUGGCUGCAGUGAGGAAUAUUGGUCAAUGGCCGUAACGCUGAACCAGCCAAGUAGCGUGAGGGAAGACUGCCCUAUGGGUUGUAAACCUCUUUUAUACGGGGAUAAAGGUGUCCACGUGUCGAUGUUUGCAGGUACCGCUUGAAUCAGGACCGGCUAAUUCCGUGCCAGCAGCCGCGGUAAUACGGAGGGUCCGGUCGUUAUCCGGAUUUAUUGGGUUUACAGGGAGCGUAGGCCGGCCUUUAAGCGUGCCGUGAAAUUUUGGGGCUCAACCAUGAGAGUGCGGCGCGAACUGGGGACCUUGAGUGCGCGGAAGGCAGGCGGAAUUCGUGGUGUAGCGGUGAAAUGCUUAGAUAUCACGAAGAACCCCGAUGGCGAAGGCAGCCUGCCGCAGCGUUACUGACGCUGAAGCUCGAAAGCGCGGGUAUCGAACAGGAUUAGAUACCCCAGUAGUC
rnacentral:rRNA from 1 species